rnacentral:rRNA from 1 species
CCCGUAUGGGUAACGAGUAUAAUAGAUAGUGGUAUCCUGAGUAGGGCGGGGCACGUGAAACCCUGUCUGAAUUUGGCGGGACCAUCCGCUAAGGCUAAAUACUCCUGAGAGACCGAUAGUGAACCAGUACCGUGAGGGAAAGGUGAAAAGAACCGUGAAUAACGGAGUGAAAUAGAUCCUGAAACCAUACGCUUACAAGCGGUCGGAGCCCUUUCGUGGGGUGACGGCGUGCCUUUUGCAUAAUGAGCCUACGAGUUAACGUUGCUGGCAAGGUUAAGUGGUUAAGCCACGGAUCCGUAGCGAAAGCGAGUCUGAAUAGGGCGCUUUAGUCAGUAGUGUUAGACGCGAAACCGUGUGAUCUACCCAUGGGCAGGAUGAAGCUGUGGUAACACACAGUGGAGGUCCGAACCGGUUGACGUUGAAAAGUCUUCGGAUGACCUGUGGGUAGGGGUGAAAGGCCAAUCAAACUCGGAAAUAGCUCGUACUCCCCGAAAUGCAUUUAGGUGCAGCGUUAGUUAUAAAGUUAUAUAGAGGUAGAGCUACUGAUUGGAUGCGGGGGCUUCACCGCCUACCAAUUCCUGACAAACUCCGAAUGCUAUAUAAUGUUCACUAACAGUGAGGGCUUGGGUGCUAAGGUCCAAGUCCGAGAGGGAAAGAACCCAGACCAUCAGCUAAGGUCCCCAAAUAUACGCUAAGUUGAAAGAACGAGGUUUGUCUGCCCAGACAGCUAGGAUGUUGGCUUGGAAGCAGCCAUUCAUUUAAAGAGUGCGUAACAGCUCACUAGUCGAGCGGACGAGCAUGGAUAAUAAUCGGGCAUAAGCGUAUUACCGAAGCUAUGGAUUUAGAGUUUACUCUAAGUGGUAGGGGAGCAUUCUAACAGGGUUGAAGGUGUGUCGUAAGGCAUGCUGGACUGGUUAGAAAAGAAAAUGUAGGCAUAAGUAACGAUAAUGCGGGCGAGAAACCCGCACACCGAAAAACUAAGGUUUCCACAGCUAUGCUAAUCAGCUGUGGGUUAGUCUGGUCCUAAGGCGAACCCGAAAGGGACAGUCGAUGGCUAACGGGUUAAUAUUCCCGUACUACUAAUUACUGUGAUGGGGUGACGGAGUGAUGAAAGCGCCGCGAACUGACGGAAUAGUUCGUUGAAGUACCUACCUAU